rnacentral:lncRNA from 10 species
CUGGACACGCCACCUUUAAGAACUGUAACACUCACCGCGAGGGUCCGCGGCUUCAUUCUUGAAGUCAGUGAGACCAAGAACCCACCAAUUCCGGACACACUGGGAUUACAGGCGUGAGCCACCGCACCCGGCUUUUUUUUGGGGGGUGGUGGGGACGGAGUCUUGCUCUAUCGCCCAGGCUGGAGUGCAGUGGCACCAUCUGGGUUCACUGCAAUCUCUGCCUCCCAGAUUCAAGCGAUGCUCCUGCCUCAGCCUCCCGACUAGCUGGGACUAUAGGUAUAUGCCACCACACUGGGUUAAUUUUUGUAUUUUUGUAGAGACGGGGUUUCACCAUAUUGGCCAGGCUGGUCUCGAACUCCUGACCUCAUGAUCCGCCCUCCUCGGCCUCCCAAAGUGCUGGGAUUACAGGCGUGAGUCACCGUGCCCGGCCAGUUUAUAGGUUUAGAAACUGAAACUCUGGCUGUGGAGCUAGGAAGCAGCUUGCCCAGGAGGCAAAUGCAGGCCUGAUUCCAAGGCCCGGGCGCGGAGCUGCCAAGCUUUAUGGGUCCAGAGUCACUGGCAAGUCCUAAUAAUAGUAAUAAUUUACUGUAUGCCUCGCCUGCAUCAUUCUAAGUACCUUUCCGAUGCUGUCUCACAUACUUUUGUGGGAUGGGUAUCACUAUUGUCCUUGGGGUCCUCCCAAGGAGGUUAAGGCAUAAUGGGUGAAAAGUCUUGUCUAAGGUCCUCAGCUAGAAAGUGGUAGAAGCAGGACUUGAGCCCAGAUACAAAGUCCACACACAGGCUUCAACCACUCUGCCUUCCAGGAAGAGCUGGUAGUGUUUAAGAGUCUAGUCCAGAACACUGUCUCAACAGCAUCAUUAGAUCAGGGCUCCUAAUCCCUAGAACCCUGUGUAACACUGCAACCCUGGCCAGGCAUAGUGGUUCAAGCCUGUAAUUCCAGCACUUUUGGAGGCCAAGCUUGACAACAGGUAACAGAGCUGUGACGUCAGCUGAGCUCUGGCGGUUCUCACACUGCAGGAUUCCAACUACAAACCUAGACCGGGGAGGAACAGGCUCAGAAGUAGGUUUUCGCCGGGUGCAGUGGCUCAUGCUUGUAAUCCUAGCACUUUGGGAGGCCGAGGUGGGUGGAUCACAAGGUCAGGAGUUCGAGACCAGCCUGGCCAAGAAGGUGAAACCCUGUCUCUACUAAAAAUACAAAAAUUAGCUAUUCAGGAGGCCAAGGCAGGGGAAUUGCUUGAACCUGGAUGGCAGAGGUUGCAGUGAGCUGAGUUCAUGCCACUGCACUCCAGCCUGGGCGACAGAAUGAGACUCCGUCUCAAAAAAAAAAAAAAAAAAAAAAAGGUUUUCAAGCCAAGUCUCAGAAGGCACAGGAGGUGGUUGCUGUAGCAAUCAUCUUUUAUUUUAUUUAUUUGAGACAGAGUCUCGCUCUGUCGCCCAGGCCGGAGUGCAGUGGCAGGAUCUCAGCUCCUGACCUCAUAAUCCGCCUGCCUCGCCCUCCCAAAGUGGUGGGAUUACAGGGAUUACCGUGCCUGGCCAGCAGUCAUCUUUUACAAUGAACAAAUAGGGCUGGGCGCGGUGGCUCACAUCUGUAAUCCUAGCACUUUGGGAGAUGGGCAGAUCACGAGGUCAGGAGACCAGCCUGGCCAACAUGGUGAAACCUCGUCUCUACUAAAAAUACAAAAAUUAGCUGGGUGUGGUGAUGCACGCCUGUAAUCCUAGCUACUCAGGAGGUUGAGGCAGGAGAAUCGCUUGAACCCGGGAGGUGGAGGUUUCAGUGAGCUGAGAUUGCACCACUGCACUCCAGCCUGGGCGACAGACAGACCAAGACUCCAUCUCAAAAAAAAAAUAAAUAAAUAAAUAAAAAUAAGUCAGGCACAGUGGCUCACGCAUGCCUGUAAUCACAGCCCUGUGGGAGGGUGAGGCAUGAGGAUCGCUUGAGGCCAGGGGUUUGAGACUAGCUUGGGCAACAUAGUGAGACCCUAUCUCUACAAAAAGUAAAAUGAACAAAUAAAUAUAGCAACUACAUAUCAGAACUUGGAGGCACUUAUUAGCUAUUAGUCCUGAGUACUUGUAAACACUGAAUAGAAGCUAGCCAAAUUUUUAAUUCUAAUAAUAGCUAAUACUGAUUACUGAAGGCUAUGUGCAAGGCACUGUUCCAAGUGUUGUUUUUUUUUUUUUUGUAUUAACUCAUUAAAUCCUCACAAUCACCCUGUACAAGUAUUAUUACUGUCUCCAUGUUACAGGGAGGGAAACUGACGCACAAGGAGACUACGUACCUGCCCAAGUUACACAGCAGUGGAUUGGAAGCAGAGGUUCUGUUCCAGCAGCCACAUGUCCCCUCCAAGGUGAAGCUAUAAUACUGAUGCCUGAAUCUUUGGGGGAGGAGGCAAGUCAAGUGGGCAGAGAUUAUCCCUAUUUGAGACAAGUUUCAGAGAGGGGAAGUGACUUGACCAAUGUCACACGGCUGACAAACACUUAAAACUGAUGCUGGAACUGGAUCUUUUGCAUCUAAGCCAAGGGCUCUACUCACUGUUCCAAUCUACCACCAGUGCCCAAGCAUGGAGGGGACAGGGAUCUGGGCUGGUAAUAGGGACUUCCAGCCCAAGACAGGUGCAGUGAUGAUUCAGAGCCUCCUGAGAAUCAUCAAGUCUAGUAAAUUAUAAGUCGCAAUGACAAUUACAUCAGCUAAAGUUUAUGAUGCUUACUAUGUGCCAUUGUUCUAAGGCUCAAAAUGCAUUAACUUUUAAGCUGGGCGUGGUGGCUCAUGCCUAUAAUCCCAGCAUUUUGGGAGGCCGAGGCGGGUGGAUCAUUAAGGUCAGGAGUUUGAGACCAGCCUGGCCAACACGGUGAAACCCUGUCUCUACUGUGGCCGGGUGCAGUGGCUCACGCCUGUAAUCCUAGCAGUUUGGGAGGCCAAGGCGGGCAGAUCACUUGAGGUCAGGAGUUCGAAACCAGCCUGGUCAACAUGGUGAAAGACCGUCUCUACUAAAAAUACAAAAAAAUUAGCUGGGUGUGGUGGCUGGCGCCUGUAAUCCCAGCUACUUGGGAGGCUGAGGCAGAAUUGCUUGAACCUGGGAGGUAGAGGUUGCAGUGAGCCCAGAUCAUGCCACUGCACUCCCACCUGGGCAACAGAGUGAAAUUCCAUCUCAAAAAAAAAAAAAAAAAAAAAAAAAAAAAAGGCCAGGUGUGGUGGUGCAUGCCUGUAAUCCCAGCUAUUCAGGUAGCCAAGGUACGAGAAUUGCUUGAACCAAGGAGGUGGAGGUUGGAGGUUGCAGUGAGCUGAGACUGCCCCACUGAACUCCAGCCUAGGUAACAGAGACUGUCUCAAAAAAAAAAAAAAAAGCAUUAACUUUUAAUCUUCACAUACCCUAUGGUCCCCAGUAUACAGAUGAGGAAACGAAAGAGCUCAGAGUUCUGGGAAACACGCUCAAAAUCACGUCAGUAAGCUUUUCUGGUUCCCCAGGAGGAUGCUUACCAAAGCUUAGACAUGCUGGUGUGACACAGUCAAAUUGUAAAAACAGAAAGACACACACGUGGCCUUGCCUGGCAAUAAAUAUUUUAAUUUGUUUCAUUUUUAUGAUG